rnacentral:rRNA from 1 species
CAGGCCUAACACAUGCAAGUCGAGCGGUAACAGAUCCAGCUUGCUGGAUGCUGACGAGCGGCGGACGGGUGAGUAACGCAUAGGAAUUUACCCGAUAGUGGGGGAUAACCUGGGGAAACUCAGGCUAAUACCGCAUACGUCCUACGGGAGAAAGGGGGCUUUGGCUCCCGCUAUCGGAUGAGCCUAUGCCGGAUUAGCUGGUUGGUGAGGUAAUGGCUCACCAAGGCGACGAUCCGUAGCUGGUCUGAGAGGAUGAUCAGCCACAUCGGGACUGAGACACGGCCCGAACUCCUACGGGAGGCAGCAGUGGGGAAUAUUGGACAAUGGGGGCAACCCUGAUCCAGCCAUGCCGCGUGUGUGAAGAAGGCCCUCGGGUUGUAAAGCACCUUCAGCGAGGAAGAACGCCUGGCGGUUAAUACCCGCCAGGAAAGACAUCACUCGCAGAAGAAGCACCGGCUAACUCCGUGCCAGCAGCCGCGGUAAUACGGAGGGUACAAGCGUUAAUCGGAAUUACUGGGCGUAAAGCGCGCGUAGGUGGCUUGAUAAGCCGGUUGUGAAAGCCCCGGGCUCAACCUGGGAACGGCAUCCGGAACUGUCAGGCUAGAGUGCAGGAGAGGAAGGUAGAAUUCCCGGUGUAGCGGUGAAAUGCGUAGAGAUCGGGAGGAAUACCAGUGGCGAAGGCGGCCUUCUGGACUGACACUGACACUGAGGUGCGAAAGCGUGGGUAGCAAACAGGAUUAGAUACCCUGGUAGUCCACGCCGUAAACGAUGUCGACCAGCCGUUGGGUGCCUAGCGCACUUUGUGGCGAAGUUAACGCGAUAAGUCGACCGCCUGGGGAGUACGGCCGCAAGGUUAAAAC